AAGUGCGGGGAGGAGGGCAACCACUUUGGGUAGGCUAGCCAGGCAACGACUCAUGGUAAAGGUGACAUUUAAGUGAAAACCUAAAGAAGAUGAGAGAGGGAGCUAUGUGAGUGUUUGGGAAAGGAGCUUUCCAGAAAGUGAGACAUCAGAUGCAAAGGUCCUGAGUCAGGAUCAUGUCUGGUGUGCUGAGGUACAGGAGGAAGCCAGUGUAUCCAGAGCAAUGCAAACGAGUGGCAGUUAUGAGGAGAGGUGGUCAAAAGGGACACAAGGACGGGUCUCAAAAAGCUCUGGAAGUGAUGGCAAGUGCUUGGGCAUUUACUCUAAGCAAAAUGAGGAUUCUGAGCAGAGCAGUGUCGUUAAAUGUAUUUUUUUAAACUUCAUUUUGUAUUAAUUUUAGAUUUACAGAAAAGUUGCAAAGAAAAGUAUAGAGCAUUCUCAUAAUCCUUUCACCCAGCUUCUCCUAACGUUGACAUUUUAUGUAACCAUGUUAAAACUAAGAAGCUAACACUGGCAUGAUAUAAUUAGCUAAAUUAUAGACUUUAUUUUGACUCCACCAGUUAUUCCACUGUCACUUUUUAUGUUCCAGAAUCUUAAUCCAGGAUAGCAUGGUACAUUUGGUGACAUAUGCUUUUAACAGGAUCACCCAAGCUGCUGUGUUGAGAAUAGGUUGAAGGGAGGCAAGUAUAGAUAGGGGGGCUAUCUGUGAAUGAUCUCUUCCUGUAAAGAUUACAGCCUAGGAAACCCUAUGGGGCAGUUCUACUGUGUUCUACAGGGUCACCUAUGUGUUGGAAUUGACUCAGCAACCCACAAGAACAACAAGAAUCAUGCUUAUGUUAGUCUACUAACAGAAAGGUUGGUGGUUUAAAUCUACCCAGAUGCUCCUCGGAAGAAGGUCCUGGUGAUCUACUUCCAAAAAUCAGCUAUUGAAAAUCCUUCAGGACACAACUCUACUCUGACACACAUGGGGUCAUCAAGAGCUGGAAUUGAGUCCAAGAAAUCAUAUCAACCAUACAUGAUGUUGGCUUGGACCAAAGUGGAAGCAGUGAAAGUGUUUUCUUGGUCAUACGUGUUUGUAGAGAGAGGAACUCUAAAAAGGGCAAGGAUGUAAAUGCAGGUUAAUAAAUCAAGUUGGAACAGCAGUGACCCAAUCUCUGGACUGUGGACAGGAGGAAGGGGCCUUUAUUUCAGAAGCUGAUAGGCCCCCAUCUGCCAAGGACAACAGCACUUGAUGUUUUACCAGCAGUGAUUCUCUGAAGAAAACAUGGAGCAAAGAUGAUAAGUGAAGGCAGCACUCAAGUUCACACAGAAGCCACACAGAGAGCAGGUCGUGUGGGUGUCCUGACGCACUGCUUUGUUCUGAAAGCCUGCUUGUCCGGAUGUUAAGUAUUGGCAACAUUGCAGCGUUCCCAGCCAUGUGCAUGCUGAGGAGCACCAGCCCUGUGUGCUUGACUAACACUGGAGUGGGUGCCCACAUGGACAGGCUGGGUCUCCCCUGGUCCAGACACAGGACCUUGGCUCAGCAAGGGGAGGGAGGUCAGGUGACCCAGGGUGAGGGGCGACUCAUCCCCAGGCUGCUCUGGGCCCAUCUCCAUCCAGUCCUUCACCCAGUGCAUCCUUCUCUCUUCCUCUUCCUUACCAGUCAUGGCACAUUUGGAAAAUUCACCUGGGGCUAUGCAAGUUAUAUAUAUGCUUAUAUGUACAGUGAGUGCAUGUAUGUGUGUGUGUGUAUGUUUCGCCUAGGCUCUGUUUUCGUAGGAGCAGGACUCUACAGUAGGCGCACUCUUUCCUUGAGGAGAGAGAAAAAGAAAGGUGAGUGAUGGAACAGUAACUGCACAUUCCCCCUUGUCUUAGUUCCCAUUCCGCAUUUACAUCCUUCCCAGGGAGGAAAGAUGCAGCUCUCCAGGCUCAGAUUGUGUGGGAGCAACAGAGCAGAGUUUUGUAACUGUGCAAAAUGGCAUUGAUGUCAGAGGAGCAGCAAGAGACAGCUAUCCUCUAAACAGAAUGGAGUCAUGGAAAGGAGCAGAGCGGGCCCUUGAGGGGGAGAUCUCUGUAACUGCCCUUGGCUGGGGACAGACAGA